ensembl:lncRNA
CUUUUUUUUCUUAGUGAGGAUGUUAAAGGGUUAAAAGUAACUGAUGGAUGAAAAUAGAUUUUAAUAUAUGCAGUUUCCUCAUUUUCCCCUCCUUUCUCUUACAAAUUGCCCACAGCUAACUUUGCAACAUCAACAUUAUUAUCUAACAAUGUUCUUCCUCUUCUUCAAACCGGUGUCCCAUGUUAGGAGUUAGGGUUGUCCUUAACUUUUCUGUUCGCUUGCUUAACAUGUUGUACCAGUCUAUACCUGUCCAGCUAUUCCAGGGUGUGCCUACAUCAUAAAUUCAGACAGCGCAGAGAGUUUCUUCAGAAGUGGACUUAUCAAAGCAACAGUGUUGUUAAUUUGAAGAACAAUGGCAGAUACAAACCCAGAUAAAAUCCCUCAGUGCGAAAAGAGCAAACCAUGCCACGGUGAAGGCAAGGGAAAAGGACCAGGACAAGGGCAAGGUCAAGGCAAGGGUCAGGGUCAUGGUCACGGACACGGUCACGGACCUGGAAAGGAUGGAAAGGAUGGCAAAGGCAAACCAUAAUGAAAGGAGCUGAAUGAAGAGACGUCUGAAGUCUGUCUGAUGCUGUUGUUUUUUUUCUUGCACCAUGACUAAUAAACUAAAACAUGUAUAAUUAUACCACAUAUGUUUGUUUUUAAUUAAAUGAUCAUCAAUAAAGUGUUUGGUAUCAAAGAAUGGCUUUUAGAAUCGUUGACUCCUUAAGCUUUGAAAUUCCAAAUAUAAAACGAAAUGAAGUAGCUGUGGCAAGGUGUGCAAGUUUACACAGCAAGAAGGUGUAUAUGCUGAAACAAUGUUAAAUCAGGAAAUAAG